CAUCUAGUCAUCUACAUCCAGCAAAAGAAACAAAUUAACGCAGCAGCAGCAGCAGCAGCUUAGUAACCACUCAUUCACAUCUUCUUUCCAAUCCAUUCCCAGAUCAAGCCUCCUGCAAAAAAAUGGGAAUAAAGGAUUAUCAAUAACAGAUGUCAUACAUGGGGGAAUUAUUCAGAAAUCGUACGCAAAAAACAGAGAAACAAGACAUCUUCGUUCUAGAAUUCCAUUUGAUGAGGCGUGUUUUAAUAGAAUACUAUAAUCUGCAGCACAGUACAUGGGUCAAAGGAUGCACACCUAUAGAGAUAAUUGACCAUAAUCCCAGCACUUUGACAAAGGCCUUUCUCUGACCGAUCAGCCAUCCAAUUUAUUCUUCCAAUCAUCUACCAUAACAUAAUAAACAUGAACACUUCGUUUCAUUUAUAUCUAAUUUGAUCCCAGUGUAAUGAAGGAAUCUAGCAAGAAUGUGAUAGUGACUUGUAGAUAUAUUAUGGCUUAUAUCUACAAGUUUCGUUGUAGGGUGUGUAAGGUGUUGUUGUAUUUGUGGUUUUGAUGUUGAUGGAUUUGUAUUUAUUUUUAUGAUUUUGUAUAUGUUUU